UUGCUUUGGCAGCACAUAUAUAAAGAUUGGAAUGAUAUAGAGAAGAUUAGUGUGGUCCCUGUGCAAGGAUGACACACAAAUUCGUAAAGUGUUCCAUAUUUAA
ensembl:snRNA U6 U6 spliceosomal RNA